GUCCACAAAGACAUAAUGGAAAACAAACACUAUGUAUACUUUUUGUACUUGUUGCACUAUAUGUAUUUGUGAUGUUUAUACCAUGCAGUGACAUCCUCUGUUUUUAUAAAACACUUUAUUUGAUAUCAGAAUCUGUGGAGUCAAGGACGAAUAAAAAUAAAUCGUCCUUAAAUAAAGUGUGUUCUACUCAUGUACCAGCACUUAAAGUUCAAUUUGCAAGAAAACAACAACAGACUUUAAGAGUUGAAAACAGUCGGAUCGAGUUCCAGUACGGAUCAUUUAUAGAAAAGCCAAAUCAAAAUAUUUUAGGCAAUACUGCAUAUGACAUAAUGAAUAUGCAAUUAAACGGAAAGGCAUUGAUAUAAGGAAGGUCGAAUUCUAUGCAUCAUUGUUUGACAGUGCAGCCGUUUGUAUAUCACUCCACUCAUCGAGAAGUGAGAAUAAUACAGUCAUUUAUAAAAGGAUAACAGGUGAUUCAAGUCAGACUACAUUCUAUAUGCAUACAAACUGGGAGCAAUUACAAGGCAACGAGAACCUUAUCGAACCGCGUUACACCAACUUCCACUACAUGAAACAAAUUACCCCUAAAGCUAAAAUUAUUAUUUUGUUUAGAGAUCCUACAACAAGACUUUAUUCUGACUUUUUGCAUAAUACACGCGGAAAGUACAGUUUUUCCUCACCUGAAGUGUUUCAUAGAGACGUUGUGGCGUUGAUAAAGGCUUAUAAAAAGUGUUUCCAUCAAUUUUCACAAAAGAGUUGUGUGUAUAAUAAUACCUUGAAGCAGGAACUUCUAAAGGAAGGCAUAGAAAUGGCUGAAAGUUUUAAUUCGGGUUUUUAUGCUGUGUUUAUGACGGAUUUGAUGACGGUAUUUGGCAAGAUCAGAUAUUACCCAUAUUGAUGUCAGAUUACCAAACAAAGAUGGAACAGACACUAAGAAAUGUUUUCAGGUUUCUUGAUAUGUCUGAAGUAAGCUCAUUAACUAUUCAGCAAAUGAUGAAAAUGGGUCGGAAAAAUGUAUCGAGAAGGAAAGAGGUUUCGCCGAUGUUAGAAGAUACAGCGGAUAUACUUUAUGAAUUUUAUAGACCUUACAAUGAAGACAUUAGCAGCGCUUAUGAACGAUAUGCGAUAUUUAUUUCCAAAACCUAGCUAGAUUCCUGUAAAACCAAAUUUUUCAAAAUAAAAACAUAUUCCUAUGGAA
rnacentral:lncRNA from 1 species